UUUGUGGUCUGUACCUAAUCCCUGUUUGCUGCACAGCUUCACAGGGAAACAGGUUUGCCAGUCCACUCCUUACUCUGAGUCUCCCCGGCUACAGAUGCAGAUGUGGAUUCCUGAAACUCUUGUUUGAUGAGCUUUGGAAGGCUCCUGUUCUCAUUUUUGUCCUCAGGAGUAAGGCAGCAACUGCUCUAAACUGAUAAGGAUGUGUUUCCGCUGCCCUAUAGAUAGUCAUUUAGACUCUGUGAUAUGUGGCCACUGCCUUGAAAUUCGAGCAAUGGAAAUGACAUCAUUAUCAGCCGACUCUUUAUGAUGAAAAAUGACCCACAUUAGGAAACAAUCUGAACCCGAGGAAACUUCGGUGAUCAAUCAUCACAAUUAUAAUUUGCUGGUCUUUUAUGUACAUCCAACCCACAGUGAAGCCUGAAUGAAUGGGUAAUAAGAAACACCGUUGAAAGGAAGUCUGUCAAGUUUCCAGGAAAGGAGCUUCCUGUUGUGGUCACCUCAGCACUGCCUCAAGUUCAAGGCUCAGUUUUCUGGACAAUUUGCAUUUGAGACUGCAGAGAAGUGGGUGUGUGACUGCUUCCAACUUCCGCUGGGUGGUGACAUAAUCACGGAGCGGCCAUCUGUGGUUCCUCCAUCUGGUGAAGCUGCUCUUGCCGACUCAGGAGCAAUGCACCAAAUCCAGCCUCACCUUUCCCAGCAGCCUUCCACCGAGCUGUGACGGGAGGUCUACCAUCUCUGGGACUUCUGAGCAGAGGGCUCGUAGACAGGCUGUAUUUCUGGCAGUGUUAGGAAAGACCUGCAGAGCUCUGUGUCUCAAUAUCACCAUCAGCAAAAUGGGACGAAUGUGUCUCCCUCAUAGGUCUGAUCUGAGGAUUAG